CUUUACACUCGAGCUUAUACGAUCGUGAGUUUUGACUUUGAAAAAUUCUACACUACACACGUAACAGCUUUUGCGGACGCAAGCGUCGUCGAAUGAUCGUGGGACUAUCUGAGGACAUGCCAAAAUACACUUUAUUGCUAUAGAUACAUGGUGGAACUUGUCAGUCGUCCGGAAGACACGAAAAAGAUGACUGUGUUUUUUGACCACGCCGCUCGAACAAAGCGUUCACUCAUGGGCGAAACAAUUUGUGACCUUUUGGCGAACGGCAAUAUAUCUGAUAUUGAAGAUUCUGAACACAGAAUUCGAUCCAGAUGUCUGAUUUCAGCACACUGCAGACAAAGCGUCAGAAGAAGAACAGGAUGACAAACAAAUACCACCUUCCUUUGAGGUAAUAGAACUAAAACCAUCGUCACCACCAUGUGAAUUAAGAGUCCCGCCAAAUUUAAGAACGACAGUGAGAGAAUCGCGUUUUACUGUGCGAGAAUCAAGAUGUUUGCCUUCUACAGUAGCAGAUCGAGAUCGCCAGUAAGUAGACGUGGUAGAAGGCCUUCAAGAGGGCGAGGGGCAGAAUCAGUUCUAGAUACAAGAAACAAGAAAGCGAAUAUGGAAGCAAACUGCUUUUAUAGAAAACGCUCACAACUAGUCUACCUUACCAAUAAACCCGGUAAGACGACCAAUGGAAUAUUUUCAUGGUUAUUUUGAUACACAGUUUUUGGAAAGGAUAUCUCAUUGUUCCAAAUUAUAUUACCAUACGCACUGCAGAUCAUGAACUUACUCUUUAAGGGCUGAAAUAGCUAAAUGAUUUGCUAUUCAUCUUAUUAUGGGCUGUAUUCCUUACCCUUGAGUAAUGUAUUGGAGAGUUGGUAUGAAGUUAGGCUUGAUCAAUGACCUGAUGACAAGAGACAGGCUCCUUACUCUAACUGGUAAUGCACUCCAUGUUGUCGAGUCCUAUUCACCAGCUCCAAACGAAGUGUAUAACCACGUAUGGAAGGUACAAGCUUCCAUACGUGCUUUUUUACAAGCUUAUUUAACAUGAUUGACAUGUUAAAUAAGCCUGCAAAAAAUUGGUAAGAGUCCCAGGAUUCUACUCGAUUGACAAGCACGAUUGAUUAUCCCCUUCACUGGACGCUGUAAGCUAUGGCAGGUCGUGAAAAAUAGACCACGACCUGUAGACUUACAACGUUUUAUCCUUUCCACAAGUGAUGGUGAUGCUAGAUUUCGAAAUUCACAAAGGAAGCAGUUUCGGCGAUACAAAUCUUGGGUCUUGGACCCUCAGUAAUUUUAUAUUUGAUAAAAGGUGCCCACGUGGUUGCUGUGUAUAUCAUAAUCAAUAUUUUACUAUACCAUUCCUUUAAUUGAGAAAAUGGAAAAGAUGGGGUUGCAUUCGACAGGAACCAUUAUGCAGUACAGGAUUCCUGACCGAGCAUCAAUUAAAAUGUUUAUUUUGUUUAACUUAAGUCUAAGACUUAAGUAAAAAAGUGUUGAUUUUAUAAUAAUUAUUAAAAUAAAUAUAAUGUUUAUAACUAUCAAU